CGCUUCAGUGAAAGGAGUCACUGGUGAGGAGGGCCCUGUUGACAUCUGUAAGGAACGGCGUGAAGUAGAGACCAGCCAAGACCACCAGGCUUGUGCAAAGGAACGUAGUGUGGAAUUUGUUGUGCCUAGGUGCAGGCAGACAGACAGUGAAAAGGCCAUCUGUAGGGAAAAAAAGGCAAACAGGAUUUUUUAUAGGGCUUGAAAGAAAGCAAAUGACAUUAGGCAGGAAGAUCUCAGUAAACAUCAGUGGUCAGAGUUCUCUGGAUGUUUUGUGCCUCAGUGAGUAAAGUCCUUGAAGAGUACAGUGUGAAACUUGGGUGUCUUUAGAUGUAGUUCCUGUUCCAUCUUAUCUCUUUUAUGACAUCCUGUGUUUCCCAAGGGCACCAGUGCUGAGUUUAGAACAAAUAUCUCUGCUGGUGGACAGGCUGGGUAUUGGGAGAGUCAUGUCGGAAUUGAGCCUUACAUUUCUGUAUUUUUGUUAUUAUAAACAAAAAAGAAAAAGAAGAAGAAAAAGGCAGAUGGGCACCGUUUCUCAUGACUGCUUCCUGCAUGGCACGUGGGCUGAGUGGGCAACCUAGUGGGAAGGAAAACCUUGGGGAACUAUUUUAUAUCGAGAUGAGGAGAUGAGCAACAACUGCCAAUUAGUGAUUGGAUGUAGUCUUGUAAGAACUGUGACAGGAGUCUGAAAAGGCAAGGCCUGAACCAGAGAAGGAGGGUUAUACAGACCAAUGGUCCUGUUAAGGAUAGGAACCCUGAGGCUCAUCUGGAGGAUUUGUAAGAGGGGCUGCAGAGAAAGAGAAAGUUAAUGUGCUGUAUGAGAUGGGAGAUGGAUGGGCGGAAGGAGAGGAAAUCAAAGGUCAGGGUCUGGCUGAAGUAGAGGUGAAGAGAUGCUGUGUGGAGGAGUGUAAGAGUAUAGGAAAGAAGGCAUCUUUCAAAUACAGGACUGAGUAAUGUGUGCUAAAUGGGGAUAGAAGAUAGAAGGCCGUAUGGAUUGGGCACCACAGGAUGGAUAGGAAGAACUAUCUGGUUGACACUGCGGAGAUCUUGUACUAAUCUAUAAGUGCUAUUUUCUUUUUUGGACAGGGAGAAUUGGAGUGUUGGAGAGUUAAUAGGGACCAGAAGACCAUGUUGGAGCAGAUGACAAGAUAAUUGGCUCUAAUCCCCUCAGAGUCUGAUCAGGGACAGAGUAUUGGCACUGGGAGGAGUGGGGUGAUCUGGCUUUCAUGGGACAGUUAGAGGUGUCUGAUUGAGAGCCAGAGAAGAGGAGAAGGUAUUUGAGAUCCGAGGGUCCAACUAUAGGAAGGUAAUGAGGCCUUUAGGUGAGGCCUAAGAAGGAGAGGAGAGAAAGGCUGAACUGACAGAAGAGAUCCUGUGAGUUGUUAGGUAAUAUUGAUCUAAUGGGAAGUAAGUCAUGUAGUUAGCUGGCAUAGAAAGACCAAAGAACUUUCCAGCUAGGUGAUGAUCUGGGGUCUUGGUUGUUUACUGAGGUGACUGAUGUCGAGCUAGACUUUAUUAGACCAGGUGUUACCAUCUAUCCGUCCCUUGAGGAGUAUGUAGGCCUGAUUUUUUGUUGUUUAUCUUGAGGGCUGGAUUUUAACUGGUGCAUCUCUGGCCACAGUGGGGGUAUAGACCAGGCCAAAGAAACAGUUAAGUAGGUAUGAGCCAAAUAACAAAAUCAACCAGACUAUUAUGAAUAUAAUCAACAAAUAUUUUACUAGGAAGAUUCAGGAAUAGUGUCUUAUAAAGAGGAUAAAGAGAAGGUCUAGGGAAUUUUAGAAUCUGACAUGGCCCUAUCCUGUCAUCUAGGAUCUUGAAUAGCCUUAGAGAUAUUAGAAGGAUGAGGAAUGCAUACACAGCAUUCAGAUUUAUAAUGGCGCAAGUACCCUCUUGUGCUGUUGUUAAAAUGUCUAAUGUUAUCUGAUUUUAGAGGACAGUUUGUCUUAUUAAUUUUUUUUUCAAUUUAGGAGAGGGAGAGAUUAGUCAAGAUAUUUUUUACAGUGAAUAACUGAUAUCUUGGAAGGCAUAUAGACAGAUGACAAAAGUUUAUGUUUUUUUAUUGUACUUUUCUGCUGGGUAUUUAAAACCAAGUUAAAUUGAGACCUAUGCUAAUUAAAAUUACUUCUCACUGUCUAUCAAGGUCAGAUGAGCCUCUUUAGGCAUCACCCUUGGAGCGAUAUACAGAGACUCUCAGCUCCUCUGUGUGUCAACUGCCAAGAUGGGGCAUGGUCUUGCUUGACAGACCUUUUUUCUUGGUGACGUUCAUUAGGCACACUAUGCGUCUUUGUUGAUCUCUAUCUUCUAGGGUCCAUCAGUCUCCCUGCUUAGGAGACUGAGUAACUCACCAGAGUUGUGGCUUCUGUAGAAAAUGUUCUUUCAUGCCCUGGGUCUCUGCUGACCUUGGAGGGCAAGGGCCAAAAUAUUGGCUGUUCUCUUAGCCCAGUUAUUUUUUCUUGUUCUGGUCUCUAAACUUUACUUGUUAAACACCCAGAAGAAAAGAUUGGUUAUAUCAGUUUUAGUUAACAGAUGUAAAGCAUAAGUGUAAAUUAUUUUUUGAUAGCUAUUGUCCCCAGUUAAAGGCAAACAGCUGUUGUAAGAUUUAUAAUUCAACCUUUUAGAUGGAAGAGCAUUUUAAUCAAGGGUUUAAAGUUAACUUUUGGUGAGUUGGAGAAAAACUGAGAGGCUGAAGAGAGAGAGCUCACUGACCUGGGAGAGGUCUGACAGAGAGGGAGGAACAGGAGGACCAAGGAGUAAGUAGUCUGGACUGGGUGUGUUUUGGAGUGUCAAGUGGGAGUUGGGAGGGCAUGUGACUGUUGAAGAAGUAGGAGACAAGACGACCUGAGCCUUGUGGCCUGGGCCUGCAUCGCCAGGAGCAGCAGUGGGCAUUUGGGAGGUGGCCCUGGGUGGGUUCAGGCUGGGGCUGGAUCAGUUUGUUGUGGGGGCACCAAGGAGGGAAGGGGAAGCACAGUGCAGGCCAACCAGGGGGUGCCAUGGCCUGGGACACUGUGGCAGAUAUGUCCAGGGACAUGGCCCGCUGUGCUCAGGGCCCUGCAGCCUAGGGUGGGGCAAGGGGGCUGUCAUCGUUUGUGUCUAGAUGCCCCCUUCACAGCCUUAUGCACUUUUAGAUGGGGCUUUUUGGAAGUAGCUAAAUCUAGAUUUUGUGACUGAGUCACGGUUCAGUGCUGGAUUAAGGGUGGGUGAUUGCUGGAUCAGUCACUGAUUGGCUUGGCACUACCCUAACCCCAACAGACUGGAUACAGUACAAGAGGCAGAAAGAGGUUUGUCUCCUGUCCUCUCCCUUUUUGCUCUUGUUGCUUUUGCAGUCUUCCACCACCACAAACUGCCCCUUUGCCAUGUGCCUCUCUGCUUUGGACUGAAAUCAACCUGCCGAUUAUGGACUGAAACCUCUACAAACUAGGAAGAAACUGAGGCCCAUGGGCGCAGGAGCGCUCAUCUGCAGACCCAGCUACUCAGGAAUCUGCAGCAAGAGGAUCGCUUAAGACCAGGAGUUUGGGGCCAGGCUGGGGAACUUAGCAAGACUGAGUCUCAGACAGAAACUGAGGCCCAGAGGGAUUGCAUUGCUCAUUUCACAAUGGCUCUAGAAAAACGUGGAGUGUAUGGAAAUGGCUCAUGUAAAUCAAGAGUCCAGAGGAAAUGUCAGCCGGACCACAUGCACUUCAGGACUGGGUGGCCCCAGCUUGCUGGUUCUGAAUGGGCUCCACUGGUGGUGCGUGCCUGUUAUGCCAACACUUUGGAGGCUGAGGCAGGAGGAUUGUUGCAAGUAUGAGGCCAGCCUUAACUGCAUAGUGAGAACCUCUCUCAACAAGACAAAAACAAAGCAAAACAACCCCCAAAAUAAUAGUACUAUUCUGCAAAAACACGUACAAAUAAAAAAUGUAAGCCACUAGAAUGGUUACCCAUGCUGGGAUAAAAGUCAACUAAUACAAGCCCACCACACACACACAUACACACACUGAAAAGAGAUAUACUUGCAGGGAUCCAUGACCACAUAUCAUGGCCCAGCAGAAGGAAAAAUGUAACCUCCUGAAAUGGGCCUUUAAAAAUUACAAUUUAAAAAUUAUAAUAUACUCUAAAGUACUAAUACAGAACUAUUCUGGACAAGACGAUAGUGUAAUGGUUUAUGAUACUGUUAUGGUAAGUGCAUUUGUUACACACUUGUCAAAAGUCAUAGAAUAUACAACACAAAGAGUGAGCCCUAAUGUAAACUAUGGACUUUAGUUAACAAUAAUGUAUACCAAUAUUGACUUAUCAACUGUAACAAGAGUAUCCACCAAUAUGAGAUAUUAAUAGGAGAAAUUGGAGAGUGGGUGCAGAGGGGGCAUAAAGUAUCUCUGUACUUUCUGUCCAAUGUUAUUUCUGUUAACCUUAAUCUGCAUCCCAAAGUCCUACAGUUUUUUAAAUUUGUUUUUGUUUGCAUUUGUGGUACUGGGAAUUGAAUCCCAGGCUUUCCCAUUGAGCUACAGCCCCCACCCUUUUUUUGAGAUAGGGUUUUGCCAAGUUGUUAACAUUACCCAGGAUGGGCUUAAACUUGCAAUCUUCCUGCCUCGG